rnacentral:rRNA from 1 species
GGAGCUAAUACCGAUAAUAUAUUGAACCGCAUGGUUCAAUAGUGAAAGACGGUUUUGCUGUCACUUAUAGAUGGAUCCGCGCUGCAUUAGCUAGUUGGUAAGGUAACGGCUUACCAAGGCAACGAUGCGUAGCCGACCUGAGAGGGUGAUCGGCCACACUGGAACUGAGACACGGUCCAGACUCCUACGGGAGGCAGCAGCU